rnacentral:rRNA from 1 species
GCAGUCGUACGGUAACAGGCCGCUGUGAUCCCUUCGGGGUGAACUUGGUGCUGACGAAAGGCGGACGGGUGAGUAAUACAUAGGAAUCUGCCCAGUAGUGGGGGACAACCUGGGGAAACUCAGGCUAAUACCGCAUACGCCCUACGGGGGAAAGGCUUCGGCCGCUAUUGGAUGAGCCUAUGUCUGAUUAGCUUGUUGGUGGGGUAAAGGCCUACCAAGGCGACGAUCAGUAGCUGGUCUGAGAGGACGAUCAGCCACACUGGGACUGAGACACGGCCCAGACUCCUACGGGAGGCAGCAGUGGGGAAUAUUGCACAAUGGGCGAAAGCCUGAUGCAGCAAUGCCGCGUGUGUGAAGAAGGCCUGCGGGUUGUAAAGCACUUUCAGUGGGGAGGAUUAUGACGUUACCCACAGAAGAAGCACCGGCUAACUCUGUGCCAGCAGCCGCGGUAAUACAGAGGGUGCGAGCGUUAAUCGGAAUUACUGGGCGUAAAGCGCGCGUAGGCGGCUUGGCCAGUCGGAUGUGAAAGCCCCGGGCUUAACCUGGGAAUUGCAUUCGAUACUACCAGGCUAGAAUGUAUUAGAGGGAAGUGGAAUUCCGGGUGUAGCGGUGAAAUGCG